CGUAGUGUAGUGGUUAUCACGUUCGCCUCACACGCGAAAGGUCCCCGGUUCGAAACCGGGCGGGAACAACCCCUUUUUCCUCAAACUUACCUUCAUGCAGCCAAAUCAAACAGAGGAGGGGACGGGGCGUGGAGGUGCGGUCGCAGCUGCAUUUUCCAUUCACGAGAAACGUGGCACAACUUCAGUUACUCAGCCCUAGGAAACAAGCCUCGGUUGUCUGCUCUCAGUCACAAUGGAGACCGCGACACAGUAAGUCCAAGGCGGGCGCAGGACUAGGCUGACUUCAGCCUACCUUGGGAUCCAGAGAGCCCCGAACCUUCUCCUCUGUCGCCGAAAUCUUCUCGACAGGCUGACAGAAUUGUCACCUGGAGAGGCCAAGUUAGAGCCCUUGUGUGACUCCCUGGUGGCCUGGGGCUAGGAGUUGGCGCUUUCACUGGGCUCCGGGAUUGGUUCCCCAUCAGCGACGUCUCUGGGCACGGCCUCCGCAUGCAGGAGUCUUCUCUUCACCCCCAGAGUAUUUUCAAGAUGAAGCUUCUGUUCCUGUCAUCUAUUCAGGAACAAAGGUUUCCCCAAGAAUAAAAGGAAGACUUUCUUAUUCAAACCACAGUCCAAGGAGUGGCAAACACCAACAGCAAGUAUGCAUAGAGAACACAAUUUUAUGAUUAGCAAGAGAGUUAACCAAGGUAAAACUUGAAUUUCAAUCCCUAGCCUAGAGAAAAAAGGUAAGAAACCUUUUCAUUUUCUA
rnacentral:lncRNA from 1 species